GGAUGCCCGGAGGGCUCGCAACACGCCAGCCCCACGCGUGGCCUGCACAGCUGCCUGCUGCCCUCGUGGAGGAGGAUUGCUGCCACCGGCAGGGCUUCUGCCCUCCAUCACCACGUCGGAGAUACGGGCUGUCACUGCCUGACGGGGGCUUAGCGAGAGAGCUGGAGAGAGCCGCAGUGUGCGGCUGUCUGAUCUCAAUGGCUGGUUUAUUUAUUUCUGUGGUAAACCCAGAGAGCGGGGGACUCGCCGUGCUUUUCUCUGGCACGAAUGGUCUGUGCUGUGUGAGCUAUCGGCUUAUCUAACAAGUCUGUGUGCUGCCGGCGGGAUUUUCCUUUAUCACGAUGCAUGCCUGCUCCUGCCGUCAGCGCGCUGUCAGAUUAGGCCAGCAGAGGCCAUUGUACUUUUCCAUAAUUGCUUGAAAUUUCAUUGUGCCGUGUGGAGCUGAGUUAUCGUGAGCACUGACAUCUCCCUCUCUUAUCAGGUGAGAAUUCGUGCCGGCGGUGUGUGCUGUCCAGCAUAUCCCUGCACUGCUGCUGCAGCACGGCGACGGAUCCUUUCCCUUUUCCCCCUCCCCCCCCCAGCACUGCCCACCAGGCCAUCCUGCACAGCCCUGCACUUUGGCUCUCCGUGUGACCCACUUGCUGCCCGUUCUUUGUUGGUCAGAGCUGCUGACAGCUGCACCUCAGGAAGGCUCUGAAGCAAAACCUUUCUGAGAGGCAAAAUGAGAGAGAGGGGUGGAUGCCAACUCCUCCCCUGAGCUGUGCUGGCGGACAGGGCAGUGAGGGCUGCACGGCACAGCCCAGCAGCAGCAGGACGCCUGGUCUGGCCCCAUUCUGCCUCACUGUAGGGCAGGAGCUGUUGCUUACAGGGCCGCACCAUCUAUCCUGUCUGAUAGCAAAGGGGCAUGAGCUCGGGAUGCCAGCAGCUUGCUCCGUGAGCUGUGAGCAGGAGAAGGGUCACCGGGACCUCUCCGCGUGACGUGGCAGCUGUGAGAAGUAGGGCUGUGAGAAGGGUCGGAUAACCUAAACCUGUGGGUUAAUUUGCUAUGCAGCUGCCUCUGGCGCUGCUGGCCCUUUGCCCUUCGGUUGCCAGGUAGGCUGAGGGCUUUGCAGAGCUCCCUGGGGUGCUGCAGGCCUCGUAGGGACAUAGGGACGUGACCCUGCCAUCGUCUCUGGUGGUGAGCCCUCACUGGGUCGCUCCACCAAACACCUCCUGGCUCCCCAGGACCAGGAUGCCUAUAGGGCAGUGCAGGGGAGCAGGACCAGCGCGUGGGAGCACCCCACCUCCUCACCAGGCCAAGGCUGGGCUUCACCUGCCCUGCAAGCCCCAUCCCAUCCCUCUCCGAGCAUUCCCUGCUGCUGCUCUGCCUCCUGGCUCUCGGCAGAGGGGAUCCUCUCCUCCAUCAGUAGGAACCCAUCCGUGCGCCAGGGGCAGUUACCUGCGGCAGGGCUGGGGAGAGGGACUCGGUGCAGCGCAGGAAGCAAGCUGCUGCUGGCAGUGGGGCAAAGAGAGAGCAGCAGGCAGAUGGCAUGAAUAUUAGUGCAUGGAAAUGACGAACACUCUGAGAAUUUCCCAGCGCUCUCCUGGCUGGCUUGGGCCCGCUUUUAUAAUUAAUUUAUGGAAAGCACCUAAGUUGGGAAUAAACACCAUCUCACAAAUCCCUCCUAAUCUCCGCCUGUAUUUUGGAGCGAUACCCUGAAGGUAUAGUUUCUUACAAUGAUUAAACUGUUUUCCUUUUCAGAAUUAAAAAGGGUUGGGUUUUUUUUUUUUUUUUCCAUGCGAUUGAGCAGAGCAUUAGUGGUCAGGACCGAACGCAGGCCUGUUUUAGAUGCAAUCCAUUGUUGCGAAUGCCCGGAUGGGGCAUUUCUCCCCCAGGCUGCCGGAUGCCAAAUCUGUCACUGUUUCCAUUUCGGAUUCGUGUAUUUUGAAGCGAAAUGUGAUUUGAUGCGUUGUCAGUCACCUGAUGGCUCAGAAGCACUCGGGCGUUAGCAUAAACCUGGGAACUUCCUUUAGAAAAGAGACGUAAUUUUCAUCGAGCUGUUGCUUCCCACUGGUGAGGGAAGCAAAACCCCCUCCCUGGGGCAGGAUGUGCAGAACAUGCCCGGGAAGGUGUCUGUGCAGUGAGGGUGUGGGAUGUGUGCAUGCUGCUGGGUCUCCGGGCUCAUGCAGGCGCUGCAGCGUGCUGUGCGGUGCAGCUCUGUGUGCCAGAGGAAGCCUGCAAAGGCCCGGGCUCAGCUCUGCAUUUGGCUGCUGCCUGCACGGAGGCUCCCACCGCUCCCGAGGGGCCUUCUGAUGGCUGGAGCCAUGGGCGGACCAGGGCACCUGCAUGGAGCUGAGAGCUGGGGCCUCCUCUGGCAGCGAGAUCCAGGCGGCAUCUGUGGACAUGGGGUGGGCUCUGCAGCGUGCAGGGAAGGAGAAGCCUUUUUGUUACGUGCCUCAUCAAGUCCUGACAUGGAAAUCGAGGUAGGAAUUACUCAGGGCGCAACCUGUCCCUCUGAUUUGGCCUUUGUGGCUCAGUCAUGCAUAGGAGAGGCCUUUUCCUUGUCCCCUCCAGCAGCAUCUCCUUGUAAUGGCUAAUGGAAAAACAUUGCAGCGGCGAAAGAUUCUCUUACUCUCAUAAACACAAUGACAAGGCUAAUCUGCAGCAGGAGCGGGUGCCCAGCCGCACGUCUCGGCUGAGUGCCUCCCUUGGAUGUGCUUUGAGUCGGGCAGGUGACGGAGCAGGAGGCAGCCAGCAGCAAAGCCCAGGCCUGGGGUGCCCACUCCGUGCUGCUGCCUGCGUGCCCUCAGUGACAGCCUUGCAGGAGCCCAGUGUCUCCCUUCUAUGCAUGGGGAGUGCUGGGUUUUAAGGCGUCUUUUCUGUUGCUUUGGGAAGAAGAGGGCGCGAGGAAGACCAGGCGUGGCAUCUGGAACACCACAGCCGUAAUUAAAAUGCUUUGGAAGGUAUUUCACUCCUACAGAGUAAGAGAUCGCUUUGAGUAUUUUGCCCCAUUCAUUGCACGCUAGUUAGAUGUGAGUGUUUUUGUCACGUGGAUAUUCGCUCACCUGCAGUUCACUAACCUGACAGUUAAACGCAUAUUUAAACGUGCAUUUAUAUACCCUUUAAUGCGUAGUAAUUAGCUGGUAGAAAGAAAAGAUGUCUUCUGGUCUUGAAAGGCAACAGGGGGAGGGGUGAUGGCAGAGCGCUGCGCUGGCCCCCGCCUGCACCGGGGCAAGUGUUGGGUGCCUUCCCAUCACGGUGACCGUGUUGUGCUGCAGAAAUAUUGAGUGGUAUUGGUCCCAACACGGACCCUUGAGUGACAGCACCUGUUACUGGUUUCCAUUUGGGCACUGAGCCUUGGACUCACUGGAUGCAGCCGUCCAGUCAAUUCCUUAUCCAUCUUACAGUCUGUCAAUCCAAAUAAUCUCUCUCCCAUUCAAAGACACGAAUAUCGUAGGAGACCACAUAAAACGUCUUGCAGAAGCUGAGUUGGACGACCACCAGCUCUUCACUUUUCAGUCCACUGCAGAAGGCCAGUAGGUGAGUCAGGCACGAUUUGCCCUUUGUGAAGCUAUGCCUGCCCUCUCUAUCCAUCCCGCUGUCCUCCACAUGCCUUAGCGUGACUUCCAGAAGGAUCUGUUGCACGAUCUUAGCAGGCACUGGUUUAGUCUGGCAGGUCAGUAAUUGCCAGGACCCUCCCCAGGAGCCUUCUUACAAAUAUCUGUGAUGCUCCCGUUUCUCCAUUCAGUGGAGACUUGACCUGACAGCCGCGAGUUCUCAGAUGCGAUGGAGAGAGGCUGAGCAGCUACGUCAGCCACUUCCCUCAGGACCCUGGGAUGUAUCUCACCCACGGACCCCAUGGAACGCUGAGCUUUGGAUUCCAAUCUUCCCAACUGACUGGAAUACAGUGGAUUAAAAAAAAAAAGUAAGUUAAGGAGAAAUAAAAGCCAACAACCCUCAUCAAGCACCAUCCGCUGCUCCUUGGCACUUCCCCGCACAGACAGAGGUGUUUGCCUGUUUCCCGCAGCAGAGCAGGUGGGUGACAUCAGGUCUUUCACCUACCCACCCUUUGGCUGAGCUGCUGCCUCCGUCUGCCUGGCAGCUGUGACAUCCAUUGGGCAGCGCCAACAAAUGGCCAUAGGCUCGACACUUCUCCAUGUCGAGAUUCCUGACUCUUCUGUCAAACUGGCGAGGUAGUUUGGGGAGGGUUAGGGCUAGGAUUGGGUUGUGUCAGAGUUAGGUUUUGGGUUAGCGUUAGGAUUACGUUUAGAACUAGGGUUGGGAUGGGACUGGGCUUGAGUAAGGGCUAUCAUUAGGGUUAGGGCUCACCUCCCCCCUAGGAAAAGGCAGGGAGCCCUGCUGACCCCUUGCUUUGUGGGCAGCAGGCUGUCUCGCUUGUCUUUUCUUACUACUACAGACUCACAGAUUUAAAACCUAUGUGUAAACUUCACCAGGCUGCAAUUACUGCCCACCACGAGUAAAGCACCCUUGCACACAACCAGCCCCAAGGGGAGGGCAUGCAGAUGCACCCGGGUGGCUUCUGCAGGCUGCUUCCAGAGAGCUCUGUCAUCCUUGCAGAGGGUGCUGCUCCUGGAGAGGUGUCUGUCUGGUAUCUGGUCUUUGCCAUCAGACAGCCGCGUGGGGAUGCUGAGCCACAUCUGUGCACGCCUCUGUUCUGGUCGACCCUUGCUGUGCAAAGCACAUGCUUGCCCCACUCAGUGCUGCAGGAGCUGCUGGAGGAGGAGGGCAGCGGGCUCAGCACGGGGGUGUGCCAAGGAAACACAGCCCCACUCCCACCCAGUGACAUGAAUGAGCCAGCAGGGUUUCACACCCCUUGGAUGACUGGGAAGGCCCUGAGCGCAGCGGGUUACUGGAGCACAGCACUGUGAUGUUGCUAAGUUAGCACACCAGGUUCUGUUCCACCCUCCCCGAGCAGGGGCCAUUCCCUUCAGCACAGCGGAGGUGAUAACAGCGCUGACACUGAUGUGUGCCUCCGCAAGGCUGCAGCCUCAUCUCCGAGACAGGAUAAACUGUUUGGCCUUUGGACAAGAUUAUUUCUGUUCGGAACAGGAUUGUUAUCACUUAAUUGAAAAUAAUUAUCCAAUGCAAAUUGGCUUCAAGUUGGCAGGCUGAGUUGAAGAGACUGCACGCUUCCAAGCUGUCCUGAGCAGAGCUGUGCCAGGCUGCGUGGGGCACAGUGAGAGAUGGGACUGCCAAUGGAGCUCUGUCUGCACUGCACAGGGAUUUGCCUGUCUGGCCUGCCCUGUGCACCCAACAGGGACAUGUGCGGCCCUGUGGUGGGCUCUACGCCCCCUCACUGCAUGCUGUGAGUUCCAUCUGCACAGCAGUGCCAACACAGCACCAGGAGGGCUCCAGUGCAACCAGCGUCCCUGGCAUGCCGAUCCCAAGUGUAACGGGGAGUGUUAAUGAGCCAGCACACUGUCCUCAAGUCUGCACCUCAACUGCUGCACACAGAGUGUGCUUGUGGGUGUCACAGCUACACUCAUGUCCUGACAAGGGGACAGCUGGUGUCACAGACAGCCUAGUCCUGAGCCAGGGAUACAGAAACCCUCAUGGAACCAGACACAGACACAGAAUCAUAGAACCUUUUCAGCUGGAAGGGACUCUUAAAGGUCAUCUAGUCCAUCUUCCCUGCAACAAACAGGGACAUCCACAGCUCCACCAGGUGCUCAGAGCCCCAUCCAGCCUGACCUCCAAUGCCUCCAUGGAUGGAGCUUCCACCACAUCUUGGGCUCCGAGGUUCCAGUGCCUCACCAUUCUUAUUGUAAAAAACCCUUCUUCCUUAUAGCCAACCUACAUCUCCCCUCCUUAACUUAAAACCGUUUCUCCUUGUUCUUGCACAGCAGACCCUGCAAGAGUCUGUCCCCCUCUUUUGUUCCCCUUUAGAUACUGACGGGCCGCUCUCAUGUCUCCCAGAGCCUCCUCUUCUCCACGCUGCACAGCCCCAGCUCUCAGCCUGUCCUCCUAACGGAACGGAGCUGUUCCGUCCCUGGGAUCCUUUUUGUGGCCCUCCUCUGGAUGCGCUCCAGCAGCUCCACAUCCCUCCUGUGCUGAGGACCCCCCGUGCGGCUGCAGUACUGCUGGUGGCUUCGCACAUCCUGCUGAACCUCUUCCCUCCCACGUGCGAGCAGUCGGCCAUCCGCGGUGCUGCGUGUCGGUGUGCUCGCCUGGCAGUUCCCAAGUGUGACCACGGCACCCCGCGCUGCUCUGCGGUUCAGCGCCUGCACACCAGGCACGGUGUGCCCACUCGGCAUGCUGCGAGCCCUGUGCCUGCUCUGCCCAUCUUCGGCCUCUCCCUUUUCUUUCUUAUUUCUGCCUGAACGGGUUCGGAUGAGACGAGACCUCCCCGAGUGCACACAGUGCCUCCGCAGAGGCACGGAUCCACCGCAGAACGCUGAGCUCCCGCAGCACCCUUACGAGGUUUGGCCCGGCUGCUCGGUGCAAGAUUAAUUAACACAAUAUUUAAACGCAGCUCCAUCAGGAGUGCAAAACACUUCUAUGGAAAUCUCCGUCAGGAGCCGGCAGAAAUGAGAGUGUGCUUUACCUGGCGGAGCACAAUUAGACAAUUAGACAGUCAAAUAUUGUCCUGGUUAAAGACUAUUAAUUUUCCUUACAUUUGUCAUGAAUUAAUUUUUUUUUUCUUUUUUUUUUCCCCUGGCUGUAUAAACAGUGUUUCAUUUAUAAAUACAACCGCUUCCUUUACACUGAAAAAUUAAAUUUGCUCUGAUAAUGAACCGAGGUGCUAAUAAUCAUUUUGCAAUGCAAAAAAGUGCAAUUACUGCCCGCCGUGCCUCACAUUGGCGCCGACACAAAGCCUGUGGCUGCCAGCCUGGGCUCCGGGCAGCACCCGCUGCAUGGGACCACAGUGCUGUGCCUCUCCUGACCCUCACCAAAGCCGUGGGUCUCACAUCCGAGCUGCAGUGCCCACACGGAGGGGCACGGGCUUUGCACGACGCGUGCAGGCGAAGCUAUGGGACAAAAUGAAGAAGCACAGCGCACAGAAAACCCAGCAAAAUCUACUGCAAAGCUCUGAGCGCACAGUGGGACGAGGAGGAGGGAGAACCGUCUCUGGCCACGGGCCGGCAUGGAGGUAUCUCCUCUACAGUGGGACAUUUAGAGCUAAGCCCUUUGGAACGGGAUAACAGUGAAUUCUUAUGGGACCUCGUGCUUGGGAAGUCGCAGUGCCGGAGGCCAGCUCUCACAAAGAAAGGUGGAGAACAGCUGCAAUGAGAGGAGGAGACCCAUCUGUCCGAGGCAGGGCCAGGAGGGCACAGCAACGCCGCCAGCACAGCCCCGUUCUGACAUCAACUCAGUGGCCUCAGCAGUGAGCUCUCAAAUGCUGGAUGCUGCUCUUGCCUGGUGCUUCCUCUGGAUGCGGUGUGACAUCGGAGCGCGUCCCCUUUGUGCCUGCAGCUCAGGGCUCUGCUUUGGAGCACGCGAGGCAGCUCCGGGCAGGCAUGCAGCACUCUGGCAUUGGCAGCCACACAGGGCAGCUUCCAUCACCUGAAAUGCAUCAGUGCUCCCAUAGCUCCACGCAGCGCUGCUCAGGCAUGCCUGGUCAGAUGAAAUCCCACGUGAUUCUACCACACAUACGUACAAAGGCAUCAGCUAUUGUGUAUGCAUACGUGCCUAGUACAUACGUGAUUAUAAUAGACGUAUCCAUACAUUUUAGGCAGACGUCGGUGAAACGAAGGAUUCAAAGAGGAGCCCACCCAUCUGCUCCUCUCUGUUAAGAAAAAAAAAAGUCAUUAAUUCUUUCCCAAUGCACACAGGUAUCCCGCAGAGAAGCACGCCUCAAAUCGCAGCACUCCUUCCUUCCCCAGCCUUGCUGCAGCAAAUCAUAGACCGAACGCUCCCUUCUCCCCUCUUACUCCAGGGACGGCUGCCCCCAUUACCAAGCAAGACUGCAACCUUUUGAUCCAUCCAUCUUGUCUCUUCCACCCAGCCCAGGCUGAGCUACAGCCACUUAUUUAUUCACGCAAUGUAGGUUUCCUCAUGCUGCUUCACCAGUGCACAUCAGCUGUGACCUCGAGUCUCUGCCCUCUCCAGGGAUAAGCAUGUUUUUUAGUCCCAGGCAUCUCCGGAGCAAAGAGUGACAGUUCUUUAAGGGAGGGAGUAAAUAGCAGGUGGGAGGAAUGACAGGCUGAAGCACAUUUUAGCUUAAUAGGAUAAAAUGGAGCUUGAUGGAAGCAGCCCGGUCUGCAAGUCAUCAGGUGCAGAACGGAACUUCAGCGCCGUGCUUUCCUUUAAAUAGCCGCAAAUGUAGCAAGGUCUUUUGCUGGUAGAAAAUGCAUCAGUCCUUGUUGCUUUCAGCAUCCCACCCUCUCCAUCUAAUGCAAAUUCAACUUUGCUACUGUUGCACUAACCUCUGUACGAUUAAUUAGCUGCUCAACAGAAAGCCAAAUGAUAGUUACAGGAGGCAUGGACAGCAGCCUGCCAGGAUUAAAUGCCACCAGUUUUGGUUCAAAUAGCACAAGGAAGUGACCCAUAAGUGGAGCCCCGCACUGUGGUUAGGGAGAGCCGAGCACCUGGACUGCACACUUGGCAUGGGUUCACCAGCAGGUAAAGCAGAAACAACUCCCUUCCUUGUCCGUGCAGCUUACCGAUAGGCAGGGCACAGAUCUGCUCCUGGCUGGGUGUAUGCAGUGUCCAACACUGUGGGAUUCCAUCUCCUGGGAAAUAUGGUUCCUGCUACAGCCCUGCUGGUUGACAUGAGGAUAUUAGGAAGAUCGGAUGGGUAUUGGGAAGAAUUUCUCCUCCAAAAGAGCGUUCAGGCAGUGGCACAGCUGCCCAGGGAGGUGGUGGAGUCACCGUCCCUGGAGGUGUUCAAGAACUGUGGGGAUGUGGCACUGAGGGACGUGAGCAGUGGGCACGGUGGGGCGGGUUGGGGUUUUCUUUGAAGCCUUUUUCAACCUGAGUGAUUCCAUGAUUCCAUGAGGCAGGUCCCUUCUGUCUUGCUGCAUGGUUCUUCUCCCACAUUUAUGAAGGCUGCAGCACUCAGUGCGAGGUUUACGAUGGUUAUGUUAAUGCAGGGCCAGGAAUUUGAGACAAACAAAUGCAAGCCUAGGUUGGAGAGCAGUUACUGCAGGCACAACAGGACAGUCCAACGCAUGCAGGGCGGUGUAGCUAUCUUGGUUCUUCUGCUCUUCUUAACAUCAGCAGUGCCUGGACAUGGCCACGUCUGACACUGCUCCACCCAGCAGAGGAGUGGGACAUUGAUGCUUAUGUGGCAGAGAGGGCAGGGCCGAUCUGCUCAGAGACUACUGCAGAAUGGGCCCUCAGCAGCCCACCUACACAUCUGCUUCCUCAGAAAUCUCUUUUUGCCUGCAGCUCGUGUUUGUUCAGCCCCUCCUCAAAGCCCUGACAGUGAGGCUCCAUCCCAGCUCAGACAAUCUGCUGUGGUCCUCUGCUAUCCUUACCGUUUCGAGGUCUGUGUCCUUAGCGUUUUAUCCCCACCUGCUGUAUGUUAACCCUGUGCUUUGCUGCCCCACUCACUCCAUUUUAAGAAAGCCAGUCCUCCGCUGAACGUUAUUUUCAUGCUUGCUUCCCUCUAGGAGGAAGAAAAAAAAGCGCCUCAUCCAUUUCCAUUUUUUCUUGCUGGCUGCAUUAUCUGGAACCCCUCUGAUUCUGUGCACUGCACAGCAGGUUUGCUCAAUCUGGAAGUGCUGUGCCUGACAAAAGUCAGUACACGAGCUUGUAUCUUAACAUGCCAUGACCUAAAGGGACUUGCAGCUAACACACUCCUUUGUAUACACUGCUGCAGUCUUUUGUUCCAUUUACCACAGCUUUGCUGCCUCACGUUCAGCCUGGGAGCUUUACUGCAGCCUUGCUUCCCAGUUGAUUACUUCCUGGCCUUCAUCUGCAGUGCUGUGCCCACUGGCACAGAGGCCACAACCUACGGGGCAGACUUCUGUGGGUCCACCCAGCCAUUUGCAUAAGUUACUGACUUUGCUUAAAUUCUCCACCAUUGGCUUCCCAAGAUAGUUCAGGCACAUACUUGAAUCUAAAAAAGUCCAUAAGAGUCCAGUGUCAAAUAGGACUGCUUAAGGUCACUGAACCUCAGAGGAACCACUCAGUUUGGACUCCUGGCUGAUUUAAUUCCUGUCAGAGUAGCUGGGGGCCUCAGAUGGAAGACUGAGGAAAACUCACCUGUUCCACAUCACACUGGCAUUGCACGUGGGCCACUUGUAGACAUCAGUAUCUCUGAAACAAAGUGGCUACCCUGACUUGUACAUCAGUAUCUGCACUAUUUGUUUAAUACAAUUAUUACACAGAAGCAUAGAAUCGUUCAGGUUGGAGAAGACCUCUCAGACCAUCCAGUCUAACCAUCCACCUACGACCAAUACUGCCCACUAGCCACGUCCCUAAGUACAACGUCUAAAUGAUUCUUGGCCACCUCCAUGAAUGGUGUCCGCACCACCUCCCUGUGCAGCCCAUUCCAGCACCUGACUGCUUCUUCUGAGAAGAAAUUUUUCCUAAUAUCCAACCUGAACCUCCCCUGGCACAACUUGAGGCCAUCGCCUUUCAUCCUAACGCUGUGUCCUGGGAGCGGAGGCCAACUCUUACCUUGUUACAGCCUCCUUUCAGGGAGUUGAAGACAGCGAUGAAGAAAGGAAUUUCAGACACCAGCACGAAGGCACUUACUCAAAACUGGGCACUGGGUUCUGAACAAGAUGUCCUUGACAGUUCUCAAGCACAAUGUAGGUUUAGGUCUGCUCCAAACAGCUCUGGACAGAGAUGGUACGGACACUGAAAUACCCGUGCUGUCAUUUGAGACCCUACCAAACAAAAAGCUGGGGAACUUACGGAGAGUGGAACAGUACUGGUUAGAAAGAUAGCCCCCAUUUUUCUGUACUGCAAUGCCCUCCUGGUUUCUCCUCCUUGUAUACCCAUGCAUUUGCACACGUUACAGACUCUUUCCAACUCUGAAGUACAACUCUAGCCAAAGGCCAAUUUCUUGGUAAGAAGAAAGAGAGGACAUCUAACUCUGCGAAAACGUGCUGGUAGCUGCUUCCUCCUGCUUAACAGAAGUGGUGGUAUACCGCAGUACAGAUCCUGCCUCAAUAAAACCAGGAGAUCUCCUGUCUUUGCUGCAGUUUCAGCUCAACAUAAGGGAAGCAGAUACUGUGUUCUCAAGUAGCUCCGCUUGCCAAUGAAAGACAGUGUACAGCAAACCGAUGGCUAUGGAUAUCCCCCACGUAGAUUUUUAUUUGGAUUAUUCAUUUGGUCAAGCAUUUGCUAUUACAAAACUUUAAACAACGUCCAAUUCCAGAGUACAAAAAUAACUGUCUUACAAAUAAAUUUAAUUAUUAAGUUUUAAGCACUGUGUCUGGAAUCAAAUACACUCUUCACGCUCUACCAUUUCUGCAGACACAACUCCCACACCAAGGGGAACAGUGACAAAUCUAACAUGAGAUGUAAACUCUGCUAUAUUUUCUCAUCUGCUUUCUCCUGCUGUUCCAACCAGCCAGCAAAGAGACGGAAUGCGGUCAGUCAGAGCCUGCCCAUGCUUGGCACCCAGAGCUGUGGCACUGAUGGUGGUGGGCCUACACUGCAGAGUGAGGUGGGAGACUGUCACUUCCCAGAGUGUAAAGCAUAACC